AGAGUUUGAUCAUGGCUCAGGACGAACGCUGGCGGCGUGCUUAACACAUGCAAGUGGUGCGACGAACCAGGGCUUGCCCUGGGGCAAAGCCGCGAACGGGUGAGUAACACGUGGGUAAUCUGCCCCGAUGACCGGGACAACCCGAGGAAACUCGGGCUAAUACCGGAUGUGGUGCCUGGACAUAAGUCCUUGCACUAAAGGAAGCUUCGGCCUCCGCAUUGGGAGGUGCCCGCGGCCCAUUAGCUUGUUGGUGGGGUAACGGCCUACCAAGGCGACGAUGGGUAGCUGGUCUGAGAGGACGAUCAGCCACACUGGGACUGAGACACGGCCUAGACUCCUACGGGAGGCAGCAGUGGGGAAUCUUGCGCAAUGCGCGAAAGCGUGACGCAGCAACGCCGCGUGGGGGAAGACGGCCUUCGGGUUGUAAACCCCUUUCAGGAGGGACGAAGGUUCGCCGGUGAAUAGCCGUGCGGAUUGACGGUACCUCCACAAGAAGCUCCGGCUAACUACGUGCCAGCAGCCGCGGUAAUACGUAGGGAGCAAGCGUUGUCCGGAAUCAUUGGGCGUAAAGCGCGCGUAGGUGGCCUCGUAAGUCCGCUGUGAAAGUCAAAGGCUCAACCUUUGAAAGCCGGUGGAUACUGCGAGGCUAGAGUACGGAAGAGGCGAGUGGAAUUCCUGGUGUAGCGGUGGAAUGCGCAGAUAUCAGGAGGAACACCAAUAGCGAAGGCAGCUCGCUGGGCGUUACUGACACUGAGGCGCGAAAGCGUGGGGAGCGAACAGGAUUAGAUACCCUAGUAGUCC
rnacentral:rRNA from 1 species